rnacentral:rRNA from 1 species
GACGAACGCUGGCGGCGUGCUUAACACAUGCAAGUCGAACGGAAAGGCCCUGCUUUUGUGGGGUGCUCGAGUGGCGAACGGGUGAGUAACACGUGAGUAACCUGCCCUUGACUUUGGGAUAACUUCAGGAAACUGGGGCUAAUACCGGAUAGGAGCUCCUGCUGCAUGGUGGGGGUUGGAAAGUUUCGGCGGUUGGGGAUGGACUCGCGGCUCAUCAGCUUGUUGGUGGGGUAGUGGCUUACCAAGGCUUUGACGGGUAGCCGGCCUGAGAGGGUGACCGGCCACAUUGGGACUGAGAUACGGCCCAGACUCCUACGGGAGACAGCAGUGGGGAAUAUUGCACAAUGGGCGAAAGCCUGAUGCAGCAACGCCGCGUGCGGGAUGACGGCCUUCGGGUUGUAAACCGCUUUCGCCUGUGACGAAGCGUGAGUGACGGUAAUGGGUAAAGAAGCACCGGCUAACUACGUG